GGCUCGUCCGCGACUUGCCGGAGAUCGAGCUGCUCGGCACCCGCAAGGUCCGUCCUGCCGACAACGACACUCUGUUCAAAGCUUGAUUUUCUCCACCCCUUGGAUGCAGAACUCUGUUCGGCUGCGCUUUGGCCGACAACGAUUAGAGGCCUCCAUCAGCAGCUUACCAACAGCCGCGUAAUUAGAAAGGCAACGACGAAGUUCCGCGAUGGCCAUGGCUGGGAGGAGGAGCAGAUCCAUCAGAAGCUCGCUGUGGCGCAAGACUGGCGGCAGGAAGGCAUCGAGGACGAGCAGCUGGCUGCCUUUCGCGAGAUGCUGCUGUUGGUCUCCAUGGGAAGCCGCCACCGGCAACCUUCCUGACACCUCCAUGAGAUGCAGCUGUCGGCCACCAUUCUGUUCGCAGCGAGCUUGACAUGCCUAAUGAGAUGUUGCCUGCUGCUCGUCUGCCAUGCUCGCGCUCCUUGCUGUGGCUGUCCGAGCGGGCCAAGGGCAGGGGCUGCAGUCAUAUUCCUGGUGGAUAGUCGGGACGAGCGACGCGGACGAUGGCCGUGUUAUGGGGGGAGGAGUGGGGCCGUCAGAAGCUCGCUGUGGCGCAAGGCUGGCGGCAUGGAGGCGCGGAGGAGAGCUGGUCGGUGGCUGCCUUUGCGAGGUGCUGCUGCCGGGCUCCAUGGGGAGCCACCGCCGGCAAUCUCCUGUUGCCGGCCACCAUUCCGUGUCGUAGCAGGACGCCACCCCAACAAGCUAGC